GUGCUCACUUCAAUAGCACAUAUACUAAAAUUGGAGCGAUACAGAGAAAAUUAGCAUGGUCCCUGCACAAGGAUGACACGCAAAUUCGUGAAGUGUUCCAUAUAUUU
ensembl:snRNA U6 U6 spliceosomal RNA